rnacentral:rRNA from 1 species
AUUGAACGCUGGCGGCAGGCCUAACACAUGCAAGUCGAGCGAGAGGCGGACGGGUGAGUAAUGUAUGGGGACUGCCCGAUAGAGGGGGAUAACUACUGGAAACGGUAGCUAAUACCGCAUACUAUCGGAUAACCUAUAUGGGAUUAGCUAGUAGGUGAGGUAAUGGCUCACCGAGGCGACGAUCCCUAGCUGGUCUGGGAGGAUGAUCAGCCACACUGGGACUGCGACACGGCCCAGACUACUACGGAGGCAGCAGUGGGGAAUAGUGCACAAUGGGCGCAAGCCUAGUGCAGCCAUGCCGCGUGUAUGAAGAAGGCCCUAGGGUUGUAAAGUGCUUUCAGUCGGGAGGCGUUAACGACAGAAGAAGUACCGGCUAACUCCGUGCCAGCCGCGGUAAUAG